CCCCGUUCGGGGGACGAGGGUGACGAGGUGGUGCAGUGGUUGUCGUCAGCUCGUGUCGUGAGAUGUUGGGUUAACGUCCCGCAACGAGCGCAACCCUCCGUACCUUAGUUGCCAGCAUUCAGUUGGGCACUCUAGAGGGACUGCCGGUGUCAAACCGGAGGAAGGUGGGGAUGACGUCAAGUCCUCAUGGCCUUUAUGUCUAGGGCUACACACGUACUACAAUGGCCGGUACAAAGGGCAGCCACUCAGCGAUGAGGCGCUAAUCCCAUAAAGCCGGUCUCAGUCCGGAUCGCAGUCUGCAACUCGACUGCGUGAAGUUGGAAUCGCUAGUAAUCGCGGAUCAGCAUGCCGCGGUGAAUACGUUCCCGGGCCUU
rnacentral:rRNA from 1 species